GAACGCAUCUUGCGCUCCUUGGUAUUCCGAGGAGCAUGCCUGUUCGAGCGUCAUUUCAACCCUCAAGCCCCCGGGCUUGGUGUUGGGGAUCGGCGUGCCCUCGCGGCGCGCCGUCCCCUAAAUCUAGUGGCGGUCUCGCUGUAGCUUCCUCUGCGUAGUAGCAACACUCGCACUGGAUCGCAGCGCGGCCACGCCGUUAAACCCCCCACUUCUGAAAGUUUGACCUCGGAUCAGGUAGGAAUACCCGCUGAACUUAAG
rnacentral:misc_RNA from 1 species